CUUGUCUAACAUAAGAGGUCCAGCCUGCCCAGUGACAUUGUUCAACGGCCGCGGUAUCCUAACCGUGCGAAGGUAGCGUAAUCACUUGUUCUUUAAAUGAGGACUAGUAUGAAAGGCAUCACGAGAGUCAUACUGUCUCCUUUCUCUAAUCAGUGAAACUAAUCUCCCCGUGAAGAAGCGAGGAUAAAAAUAUAAGACGAGAAGACCCUAUGGAGCUUAAAACAAAUAACAUUUGCCUUUCUAACUUCAAAUUUCAGAAAAAUUUCUUAUCUUGGCAUUAUAAUUAUUAGUUUUUGGUUGGGGUGACCACGGAACAAAAAACAACUUCCACAAUGAAAGACACUCCUUUACUAAGUCAAGGACUACAACCCUACACAUCAACAAAUUGACAUUAAUUGACCCAACAUGUUGAUCAAUGGAC
rnacentral:rRNA from 1 species